UUCUGGCUAAUGGUGGCUUGCCUUGCAUUUGUGCUUGGUUUGUCGCUGUUAGUUGGUUUGAUCUCGGGAAUGUCUACCGUAAAGGUGCAUGAGUGGUGUUUGGUUUGUUACGGGUGGUUGGCUCCUUGCUUGCGCAACCAACUUCCACCUGGCAUACCUCUUCAGUUUUGUAUCGAUGCUUGUUUGCAUUGAAUGCAUUCUGGGUUUCUUGUGUUGCAUUCCUAAUUGAUGGUAUCGUUUGAUGAAUGGAUGUCUAUUUUCGUCUUGUGUUGCUAAUGCGAUACGGGAUGGACCAUUAAGCAACUCUUGUGAUCCACACCUUUGGUGCACACGCAUUGAUUUUGUGGCUCAUUGAGCGUUGCUUGGUCUCAUGGAUAUAGAACCUUGUGUGGGCAUGGGAUCUUUUAGUAGUUCCUUGUUUGCUCUAGCUAAGCUUUUCAAAUACGAUUUCCUACUAUGUGUCAACGUGGUAGGCUAUAUCGAAUAUGAAUG
rnacentral:misc_RNA from 1 species